UACAAACGCUCUCACUGGAAGGCAAUUGUGGGAUUAUUCAGUGGAAAAACUGGUACUUGUGGGGUGAAUUUAGAAAUGUGGGCUGCACCCCACAUUUCCAUCUAAAUAAUGUUUUUUUUCUGAUAGCUGUUGGGUUAAAGUUUUAAAAUUUGACUGCACCCAACAUUAACUUGGACACCAUUUUGACCAAAUCCGUCAUGUGUCCGUUCGAGUCAUGGACAGUUGCUAAAAAUAGCAUUCCAUGUAACUGAUGGCUACUGCCACCUAUAUUGCAAAGGGGAGGCAACUCUUUCCCGCGCCGCACGCGCAGUUUUUCCAGCGACGCAUACGCAUUUUUUCCAGCGUCGAAUGCGCUCAUUUCGUUUUACCACAGCAUGCAGAAAAGACAACAUGGCAAAAUCGAAAACUACGAGGGCAUCGGAAAAAGAGCUAAUGGAUGGUUGGGCUCUACACAUGAAUUUUUUCUACCCCUGCAGACGAGCUCAAAACAUACUAGAUUUUCAAGAUGGCAUAAAACAGAAGUACACAAAGAAAACGUUCAUACCUCUAAAAGUGCAACCAGUUGGCACCGAGGUGUGGGUUAAAAUAGAUCAUGGGGACUACUUCCCUGCUGGGAAAAUACAAGGAUGCCAUGGGGACCAACUUCUUCUUCUAAAUAAAUGGUAUGCAAAAUCAUGUGAAUUUCAAUGUAUACAUUUCAUUUGUUUUUUGUGUCUUUAUUCCUUUUCUUUGUUGUUAGGACUGAAAGUAGUUUUAUAUCUGUGUGUUCUUUGUGGUAUUCAUAGCUUAAAGUUAUGGGAUGCGGUAUAUGAAGUAUCUUUGUAUUAUGCUUAUGUGGAAAACUAUGUAAAAAAAUAGUGGGCUGCAUGUCCGAAGUUGUGGCAUGUCCUCGAGUGAGUGAGUGAGUGAGUAUGGUUUUACGCCGCUUUAAGCAAUAUUCCAGCAAUAUCACGACGGGGGACACCAGAAAUAGGCUUCACACAUUGUACCCAUGUCGGGAAACGAACCUGGGUCUUCGGCGUGAUGAGCGAACUCUUUAACCACCUGGCUACCCGACCGCCCGGCAUGUCCUAGAAAUAAGGGGGUGUCCAAAAACUUGGUGAUCAUAGCCUUACAAGAGGGAAAACAGACACUCAAAGCCUGUUGGGUCUAGGGGAAACUGCUACAAUUUCAAGCCCUGAUGAUGCUUCCGGUCUUCAUGACCCUGGUCAAGAAACACCUCAGCAGACAGCAUCCUCAUCCAGUGUCAGUGUUUGGGGUCAUUCGUUUGUUGAGACAUGGUCACCUCUGAUGGUUCUGAAAAUGAGAAGGCCAUGCCACUCUCCAGACUGAAGAGAAAAUUUUGCAAGAGACGCUGUGAUAUAGGUGGCAAGAAGAGGUCUGCUACUUCUCCUAUUCCAGAUCAUGACACUAGUGACUGCAACUCAAGUGCUUCUGAAUAUCAUCCUUGUAAGAAAGACAUUGACACUUCUGAUUUAGACACUGAGAACUUCCAGGCAACCUGUUCGAAAACUGAGGUGUACAAGAAAACAAUACAUCCUGAUCAUAAAGGACAUUCAGUUGCGGAUAUCAAAGGCAGCAGUGAUUCUUCUCUUUCGGAAUUUCUUCAUCUUAAAAAAGAGAUUAUGCAGGACACAAAUGAAAUACUGAAACGUUACCUUCAAUCUCAAGAUUCAUCCAAUCCGAUGAUAAAAUGUAUGACAUUAAUCAUCCAUAGGUGUUUGUGAAGAAGAUUCUUAGGUGUUCA
rnacentral:misc_RNA from 1 species